GCUGUAUUUUCCGUGGUUAGAGUGCUGGGCUAGGACCUGAGAGAUCGGGGUUCGAAUCCCCCCUUGGCCA